rnacentral:rRNA from 1 species
UACGUAGGGGGCUAGCGUUGUCCGGAAUCAUUGGGCGUAAAGAGCGUGUAGGCGGCCCGGUAAGUCCGCUGUAAAAGUCAAAGGCUCAACCUUUGAAUGUCAGUGGAUUCUGCCGGGCUAGAGUCCGGAAGAGGCGAGUGGAACUCCUGGUGUAGCGGUGGAAUGCGCAGAUAUCAGGAAGAACACCAACGGCGAAGGCAGCUCGCUGGGACGGUACUGACGCUGAGACGCGAAAGCGUGGGGAGCGAACAGG